CGGCCGGCCGGCUUCGCCCGUGUGAAGCUCCUUCGACGAGUCGAGUUGUUUGGGAAUGCAGCUCUAAAUGGGUGGUAAAUUUCAUCUAAAGCUAAAUACUGGUCGGAGACCGAUAGCGCACAAGUAGAGUGAUCGAAAGAUGAAAAGCACUUUGAAAAGAGAGUUAAACAGCAUGUGAAAUUGUUGAAAGGGAAGCGCUUGC
rnacentral:rRNA from 1 species